rnacentral:rRNA from 1 species
CCUGCGGAAGGAUCAUUGUCNAAUCCUGCCUAGCAGACCAACGCGAACAAGUUAACAAAUUGCGGGCUGCGGACGGGAUGAGGGAGACCUCUAACGUCAGCGCUCGCACCCAACUAAAACUCUCGGCGCGGGAUGCGCCAAGGAUUACUGAAAACAGAUUGCUUACACCUCUGCGGCUUCCGUGGUGUGUGCAAAGCGUCUGAUGGUUUAACAAAAAUGACUCUCGGCAACGGAUAUCUCGGCUCUCGCAUCGAUAAAGAACGUANCGAAAUACGAUACUUGGUGUGAAUUGCAGAAUCCCGUGAACCAUCGAGUUUUUGAACGCAAGUUGCGCCCGAAGCCAUUAGGCUAAGGGCACGUCUGCCUGGGCGUCACGCAUCUCGUCGUCACCUCUCUCCGCACCUGUGUGGAUAUGAAUGACGGAUGUUGGCCUCCCGUGUCAUCUUGGUGCGGUUGGCCAAAAUGCGAGUCGUCGGUGCGAUCUUUCACGACAAGUGGUGGUUGAACUCAUCAACUCAUUGUGCUGUCGANAUGAUGCCCGAUGCGUUCUUUAAUGACCCUAGGGCUCUCGACCCCCACAGGUGUUUAGGGCCUUCGACCGCGACCCUGGUCAGGCGGGAUUACCCGCUGAGUUUUAACAUAUCAAUAAGCGGAG